UUCGAUAAUAUUCCAUCGCUAUAUUUCCACUUCUCCUGUUGCUCACUCUAUCCCUGGGUUUCUUCUCAGAAAGACAGUGUAAAGAAUCAUUCUUGCAAACAACACUCAAAAAUUGCGGGAGACGUUUGUCAAACCUCUAGAGCAGCGACUUCAUGGCUUUUCUCUGGUGUUUGAAGACCUUUCUAAAGUUUAUGAAGCAAUCGAAUGUCGAAUUCCAAUGGUAAAAAGAGCUACUUCUUUUCUUAUAUUUCAGGCAAUCUGAAUGUUUGCAUAAGUCAUAGAGAAACCCAAGCUGAAGCGGUUGAAAGAAACCAUAAGAAGUUUUUUCUUGGCCUGUGAUCAACUACGACUUGUUAAAGGGAGGUGAAAUAGAAUGUGGAGCACCAUAACAAACAUUGGUCCAAAUCGGGAAAGAAAAGGGACCGUCGAAGAAGGAACAUCAAAAACUUACGCCAAAGUCAUGCAGACUUGGUAGCUGAACAUUAAUUAGGGUUCUUCUAAGAUAGGAUUUUGAUCCACUUCUUAAAGCAUGGUAAAGUGUCACCAAUCGCUUAUUUUUGUUGGACAUGUGUUUCUUAUACGACCACAUAGCUCUGGCUGUGCUACAUCAAUAGAUUUUCGUCAUUUUAUUUCUGUUGGUGUUUCUUUAUUCUGCCUCUUUACUUACAGGAAAUUAAUAGACCUGUAAAAAUGUUUCGUAACACUAUGAUCUGCUACUUGCUUUCUAGUAUAGAUGUCUGUUUUGCUUUGCACAUAACAUAUAUGAUAGAAGUCCUAUUAAAGUUUUUAAAAGGAGUUUUCCUUUGAUUCUAAGGAAAUAUGUUUUAAACUUCUUUAACAGCUUCUUAUCAUAUAACAAUAUAAGCAGUUAUUUAUCAGUUCUUCAAUUGUUUCUCUGUUUUUCUUCUUUCUUUGUAGGUGCUAAUGUAUGUUGAAGUGUGUGACCAUCUUAUCUGAAAAGCUUAAGUUAUUAGAAAGAUCAAACUUUUAUUUAUUUAGUUAUUCUUCAACACGACCCUUUUUGUGGACUUGAUUUUUUAUUAUGAUCCGAACACGAGGAAGUUGUUUUAGAUAAUGGAUGGAAACCCAGCACCUUCGCCUACUCUAAUACUAAGUUGAAGUGCGUGACAAUCUUGUCUAAAAGCAUUGAAGUACGAGGUAGCAAAUUUCAAUGGUGACACCAAUUUCUCCAAGAAAGAUGAGAGAUCUGCUCAUCCAAAAAAGGUUAUACAAGGCACUAGAUGACAAUGUGAUGAAGCUCGAAUCCAUGAAACUUGAAGAUCCGCCUGUAGGGGCAACAAAAAUAUAGCCUGGGGCAACAAAAAUAUAGCCUUUGGCAUGACUUUGAUUGAUCGUGAUAUGAAAAAAUCACGGGCAGAUUACCUUCCAUCAGCACAUAUAUGAAUAAUUUUGUAAACACCUUGUUCUUUUUUGCUUCUACUUAAAUUUGAACUCUGAUCUCCCAUUAAUUUCAUUGAUUAUUAGGACACUCCUUGAGUGCAGGUUAGACCUUUGUUUUUGGGAGAGUUGUACAUGCGAAAAGCUAACAAGUUCUCUUCUAAAUUGUUUCCCUCAAUUGAAGUUUAACUUUGACUUUUC